UGUGUUAGGAAAUUAGACGCAACUAAUUCCGCCCUGGAUCUAGUGUGACGCAAAAUUUUGGAUAUCGACCGAUAUGAAACGAGAAAAAAAAAAUGACACCGAUAUUUUUAACGUGGUUCGGCCAAACUGCCUACGUCCACGGACCCACACCAAUAUAUUAGAGAAUCUCAAAAGGAGGAGUACAACAAAAUAUCACACUGUAUUUUGUAUCUGCCUACGCAGAGGCUAUCUCUCAACUCUCUUUUAUC
rnacentral:lncRNA from 1 species